CCUACGGGAGGCAGCAGUGGGGAAUAUUGCACAAUGGGGGAAACCCUGAUGCAGCGACGCCGCGUGAAGGAAGAAGUAUUUCGGUAUGUAAACUUCUAUCAGCAGGGAAGAAAAUGACGGUACCUGACUAAGAAGCCCCGGCUAACGACGUGCCAGCAGCCGCGGUAAUACGUAGGGGGCAAGCGUUAUCCGGAUUUACUGGGUGUAAAGGGAGCGUAGGCGGUUCAGCAAGUCAGAAGUGAAAGCCCGGGGCUCAACUCCUGGACUGCUUUUGAAACUGUUGAACUAGAUUGCAGGAGAGGUAAGUGGAAUUCCUCGUGUAGCGGUGAACUGCGUAGAUAUUCGGAGGAACCCCAGUGGCGACGGCGGCUUACUGGACUGUACCUGCCGCUGAGGCUCGAACGCGUGGGGAGCAAACAGGAUUAGAUACCCUGGUAGUC
rnacentral:rRNA from 1 species